GGGCACGUAGCUCAGCGGCAGAGCAGCAGUCUUAUAAACUGCAGGACGCGGGUUCGAGUCCCGCCGUGCCUACCA
rnacentral:tRNA from 2 species